UGGGGAAUUUUGGACAAUGGGCGAAAGCCUGAUCCAGCAAUGCCGCGUGUGUGAAGAAGGCCUUCGGGUUGUAAAGCACUUUUGUCCGGAAAGAAAUCCUUGGCUCUAAUACAGUCGGGGGAUGACGGUACCGGAAGAAUAAGCACCGGCUAACUACGUGCCAGCAGCCGCGGUAAUACGUAGGGUGCAAGCGUUAAUCGGAAUUACUGGGCGUAAAGCGUGCGCAGGCGGUUUGCUAAGACCGAUGUGAAAUCCCCGGGCUCAACCUGGGAACUGCAUUGGUGACUGGCAGGCUAGAGUAUGGCANAGGGGGGUAGAAUUCCACGUGUAGCAGUGAAAUGCGUAGAGAUGUGGAGGAAUACGAUGGCGAAGGCAGCCCCCUGGGCCAAUACUGACGCUCAUGCACGAAAGCGUGGGGAGCAAAACAGGAUUAGUACCCGGGGUAGUCCACGCCCUAAACGAUGUCAACUAGUUGUUGGGGAUUCAUUCCUUAGUAACGUAGCUAACGCGUGAAGUUGACCGCCUGGGGAGUACGGUCGCAAGAUUAAAACUCAAAGGAAUUGACGGGGUCAUAGCUGUUUCCU
rnacentral:rRNA from 1 species